rnacentral:tRNA from 1 species
AGCCUGUUAGCUCAAUUGGUAGAGUAUUUUGUGUGCAAAUACACAAAAAUGUGGGUUCGACUCCUGCACAGACUC